rnacentral:rRNA from 1 species
CACCUACGGGAGGCUGCAGUAACGAAUCUUCCGCAAUGCACGCAAGUGUGACGGAGCGACGCCGCGUGGAGGACGAAGUUCUUCGGAAUGUAAACUCCUGUCAGGGGGAAGAAAGAUCUGAUCUACCCCAGAGGAAGAGGCGGCUAACUCUGUGCCAGCAGCCGCGGUAAUACAGAGGCCUCGAGCGUUAGGCGGAAUCACUGGGCUUAAAGCGUGUGUAGGCGGACUUCUAAGUACCUUGUGAAAUCCCACGGCUCACCCGUGGAACUGCUGGGUAUACUGGUCGUCUUGAGCCACUUAGGGGCUACCGGAACAAACGGUGGAGCGGUGAAAUGCGUAGAUAUCGUUUGGAACGCCAAUGGUGAAAACAGGUAGCUGGGGGUGUGCUGACACUGAGACACGAAAGCCAGGGGAGCGAGCGGGAUUAGAUACCCUUGUAGUC